UACGGGGGGGGCAAGCGUUGUUCGGAAUUACUGGGCGUAAAGGGCUCGUAGGUGGCCAACUAAGUCAGACGUGAAAUCCCUCGGCUUAACCGGGGAACUGCGUCUGAUACUGGAUGGCUUGAGUUCGGGAGAGGGAUGCGGAAUUCCAGGUGUAGCGGUGAAAUGCGUAGAUAUCUGGAGGAACACCGGUGGCGAAGGCGGCAUCCUGGACCAAUUCUGACACUGAGGAGCGAAAGCCAGGGGAGCAAACGGG
rnacentral:rRNA from 1 species